rnacentral:rRNA from 1 species
UGGGGAAUCUUCCGCAAUGGACGAAAGUCUGACGGAGCAACGCCGCGUGAGUGAAGAAGGUUUUCGGAUCGUAAAACUCUGUCUUUUGGGGCGAACGUGAGUAUGGUGAACAAUCAUAGUCAGUGACGGUACCAAAGGAGGAAGCCACGGCUAACUACGUGCCAGCAGCCGCGGUAAUACGUAGGUGGCAAGCGUUGUCCGGAAUUAUUGGGCGUAAAGAGCGCGUAGGCGGGAUAGUCAGUCUGUUGUAAAAGUGCGGGGCUCAACCCCGUGAUGGCAAUGGAAACAGCUAUUCUUGAGUGCAGGAGAGGAAAGUGGAAUUCCCAGUGUAGCGGUGAAAUGCGUAGAUAUUGGGAGGAACACCAGUGGCGAAGGCGACUUUCUGGACUGUGUCUGACGCUGAGGCGCGAAAGCCAGGGGAGCGAACGGGAUUAGAUACCCCGGUAGUCCUGGCCGUAAACGAUGGGUACUAGGUGUGGGAGGUAUCGACCCCUUCCGUGCCGGAGUUAACGCAAUAAGUACCCCCGCCUGGGGAGUACGGUCGCAAGACUGAAACUCAAAGGAAUUGACGGGGGUCAUAGCUGUUUCCUG